rnacentral:rRNA from 1 species
CGCGCAGGCUGAGAGAGGUGGAUAAGGUAUCACCUUAGUGAAUAUAUAGCUUUGGUGAAGCGAACCCGGGGAACUGAAACAUCUCAGUACCCGGAGGAAAAGAAAUCAACCGAGAUUCCCGUAGUAGUGGCGAGCGAACCGGGACCAGGCCAGUGCCUUGUCGUAAAUUAGCAGAACAUUCUGGAAAGUUUGACCAUAGUGGGUGACAGUCCCGUAUGCGAAAAUGAUCGACAAGGACUUGAGUAGGGCGGGACACGUGAAAUCCUGUCUGAACGUGGGGGGACCACCCUCCAAGCCUAAAUACUCGUACAUGACCGAUAGCGAACACAGUACCGUGAGGGAAAGGUGAAAAGCACCCCGAUUAGGGGAGUGAAACAGUACCUGAAACCGGAUGCUUACAAGCAGUUGGAGCCCCAUAGGGGGUGACAGCGUACCUCUUGCAUAAUGGGUCAGUGACUUAAUCUAGCAUGCAAGCUUAAGCCGUUAGGUGUAGGCGAAGCGAAAGCGAGUCUGAAUAGGGCGACUGAGUAUGUUGGAUUAGACCCGAACCCCGGCGAUCUAGGCAUGACCAGGUUGAAGGUGCAGUAACAUGCACUGGAGGACCGAACCGUUGAAUGUUGAAAAAUUCUCGGAUGAGUUGUGUUUAGGGGUGAAAGGCCAAUCAAGCCGGGAAAUAGCUG